rnacentral:rRNA from 1 species
GAUGAACGCUCGCUACAGGCUUAACACAUGCAAGUCGAGGGGCAGCAUGGUCUUAGCUUGCUAAGGCCUAUGGCGACCGGCGCACGGGUGAGUAACACGUAUCCAACCUUCCGUCUACUCUUGGACAGCCUUCUGAAAGGAAGAUUAAUACAAGUUGGCAUCAUAAGUCCGCUUGUUCACUGGAUUAAAGGUAUUCCGGUAGACGAGGGGGAUGCGUUCCCUUAGAUAGUAGGCGGGGUAACGGCCCACCUAGUCUUCGAUGGAUAGGGGUUCUGAGAGGACGGUCCCCCACAUUGGAACUGGGACACGGUCCAAACUCCUACGGGAGGCAGCAGUGAGGAAUAUUGGUCAAUGGGCGCAGGCCUGAACCAGCCAAGUAGCGUGAAGGAUGACUGCACUAUGGGUUGUAAACUUCUUUUAUAAAGGAAUAAAGUCGGGUAUGUAUACCCGUUUGCAUGUACUUUAUGAAUAAGGAUCGGCUAACUCCGUG